GUAGGGUUGGUAGGGGACUGGCUAUCUCACCACAGGUAGGUUUGGUAGGGGACUGGCUAUGUCAACACUGGUAGGGGACUGGCUAUCUCACCACAGGUAGGGUUGGUAGGGGACUGGCUAUCUCACCACAGGUAGGUUUGGUAGGGGACUGGCUAUGUCAACACUGGUAGGGGACUGGCUAUCUCACCACAGGUAGGGUUGGUAGGGGACUGGCUAUCUCACCACUGGUAGGUUUGGUAGGGGACUGGCUAUGUCAACACUGGUAGGGGACUGGCUAUCUCACCACUGGUAGGGGACUGGCUAUCUCACCACAGGUAGGGUUGGUAGGGGACUGGCUAUCUCACCACUGGUAGGGGACUGGCUAUCUCACCACGUGUAGGGUUGGCAGGGGACUGGCUAUCUCACCACGUGUAGGGUUGGUAGGGGACUGGCUAUCUCACCACUGGUAGGGGACUGGCUAUCUCACCACGUGUAGGGUUGGUAGCGGACUGCCUAUCUCACCACAGGUCGGAUUGGUAGGGGACUGGCUAUGUCACCACAGGUAGGUUUGGUAGGGGACUGGCUAUCUCACCACUGGUAGGGGACUGGCUAUCUCACCACUCGUAGGGGACUGGCUAUGUCACCACAGGUAGGGUUGGUAGGGGACUGGCUAUCUCACCACUGGUAGGUUUGGUAGGGGACUGGCUAUCUCACCACUCGUAGGGGACUGGCUAUGUCACCACAGGUAGGUUUGGUAGGGGACUGGCUAUCUCACCACUCGUAGGGGACUGGCUAUGUCACCACAGGUAGGUUUGGUAGGGGACUGGCUAUGUCACCACAGGUAGGGUUGGUAAGGGACUGGCUAUCUCACCACAGGUAGGGUUGGUAAGGGACUGGCUAUCUCACCACAGGUAGGGUUGGUAGAGGACUGGCUAUGUCACCACAGGUAAGGUUGGUAGGGGACUGGCUAUAUCACCACAUGGUAGGUUUGGUAGGGGACUGGCUAUCUCACCACAUGUAGGUUUGGUAGGGGACUGGCUAUCUCACCACAUGUAGGUUUGGUAGGGGACUGGCUAUGUCAACACUGGUAGGGGACUGGCUAUCUCACCACAGGUAGGGUUG